rnacentral:tRNA from 1 species
UCCCUGGAGGACUAGUGGUUAGGCCUCUGUGCUCUCACCUCCGCUGCCUGGGUUUGAUUCCCGGCCAGGGAA